rnacentral:hammerhead_ribozyme from 1 species
CUACUGUUGAAGAGUCCCAAAAUAGGUUGAAACAGCUGUCCAGUAC